GAUGAAGAACGUAGCGAAAUGCGAUACUUGGUGUGAAUUGCAGAAUCCCGUGAACCAUCGAGUCUUUGAACGCAAGUUGCGCCCGAAGCCAUUAGGCCGAGGGCACGCCUGCCUGGGCGUCACACGUCGUUGCCCCCCCCAUCUACUCCUUCGGGAUUGCGGGGGGCGGAUGAUGGCCUCCCGUGCGCCUCGCCGCGCGGUUGGCAUAAAUGCCAAGUCCUCGGCGACGCACGCCACGACAAUCGGUGGUUGCGAAACCUCGGUUGCCCGUCGUGUGCGGUCGUCGCGCAUCGAGGGCUCGAAAAAAUUGCCGAGUUCCGGCUCGGCUUUCAACGCGAACCCAGGUCAGGCGGGGUUACCCGCUGAAUUUAAGCAUAUCAAUAAGCGGAGGA
rnacentral:misc_RNA from 1 species